CCUACGGGAGGCUGCAGUGGGGAAUAUUGGGCAAUGGGCGCAAGCCUGACCCAGCAACGCCGCGUGAAGGAAGAAGGCUUUCGGGUUGUAAACUUCUUUUCUCAGGGACGAAGAAAGUGACGGUACCUGAGGAAUAAGCCACGGCUAACUACGUGCCAGCAGCCGCGGUAAUACGGAGGUGGCAAGCGUUAUCCGGAUUUAUUGGGUGUAAAGGGUGUGUAGGCGGGAGCGCAAGUCAGAUGUGAAAUCUCAGGGCUCAACCCUGAGCCUGCAUUUGAAACUGUGUUUCUUGAGUGCUGGAGAGGCAGGCGGAAUUCCGGGUGUAGCGGUGAAAUGCGUAGAUAUACGGAGGAACACCAAUGGCGAAGGCGGAUUGCUAGACAGUAACUGACGCUGAGGCGCGAAAGCGUGGGGAGCAAACAGGAUUAGAUACCCUUGUAGUC
rnacentral:rRNA from 1 species